AAUUAUUAUUACUAAUAGAACAAGAUUUUGCAAUCACUCCACACAUACACUUGUAGUGGCAUGGAUCAUCAUUUUUUUCCAUGAUAAGGAUGGUAAUGAAUCUGCAAAAAGCAUAAUAAAUAGCUUUAUAUUAACUCAGUGAAUGAGAGACUUCAACUGGGCACAGAUGCUUGACAGAGGAGUUGCCAUGGAAAAGGAAGAAAAACAAUAGGUAAUGUGAUGAAUAGAAGGGGCAGCUCUUAGUCUUUGCCGCCUGUUUCUACCAGUAGGUGUCACUGCAAACAAAGCAGUGUUCAGUGUGUCAGACUCUUAAUAGCUGGGAAAACAUAUGUACUACAUUAAGUUUAAACCCAUGGGGAGAAAAUGGUGUAAAAUGAUCUAAGGACUAAGGAUGUACCAGUGGCUUAUUUCCUUUCUAAAAGUGAACUGCAAGACCUUUUAAAAAGAAAGGAACGAAUGAGAUCUCAGAUUGUUAGAAAAAUAUAUGUGCAGAUUUGAUGGGCUGCAUUUUGGGUGAUUCUUUGUGCAGAAUGCACAUGCAACUGCUCACUUACUUUGCACGAGCAAUUAGUAUCAAAUGUUUCCCCAAACAAUUGCCCAUUUAGACCCCUGACUAGCAGACAAAUCCCCAAUUGCAGUAAAUGCGCAAACACACAAAGUUAGGCAAACAAUUGCACACACUUUUGUGUACAUGAACCUCCAAUCUCUCAUUCACAGAAUUUGACAGACAUUCCAAUAUAGUUCCUGACAAACCCUAGAUAAAUGAUUCAGACACAUCUGGGAGCCCAUGCAAAAUCAUUCAGCUGGGGCGCACGUCUGCAAGACCCUAGAUUCAGCAAGCGCACAUCUUUUCCAUCUGCCACAUGCUUAUGCCACGCAUUUUGCUUGAGCUUGGAUACCGUUGCAGCUGAAGGUGGAAGAGAAUAAAUAAUACAUCCAAGUUGAUGCAUGUGAUUGUGGAGAGAAUUAGUGAAAUUGAGGAUGGAGGUUUCAUUUAAAUAAACCUACCAUCUUCCUCUGUCUCAUGAUAAAAGAGGCGCAAUCCUACUUCAUCAGGAGUCACAAGUUGUUAUCAUCUCAGCCAGCAGGAAACAGUGUUUAUCCAACACCACAAAACACUGGAAUAUGAUUAGUAAACUUAACAAUAACAUUUGUGUGUGUUCUUGACUUGCAGUUGCAGGUUUGACAGCAUUAAUUGCAAUCCUAAACUCAGGGUUUCAUGUUUCCUCUGCAACAGUUGCAAAACCUCAAACAACAAAAUCAGAGCAUAAAAGGAGACAUAAGAUCCUGAACUCCAGUAUUGACAAUAGAUUAAAUGUGCCUCUCAGCAAGACUGCUAAAGCCACCUGUUUAUAAUGACCAGACAACUAUGAGCUGCUCCAAAUGGAAUUUGAUGAUCUCAUAAAUGUUUCUGUCUCUCAAUAGGUGAGGAAGAAACCAUUUCUGAGGGAUUAACGCCUGUGCUAAGAUUUAUGAAUUAAAAUUGCAGUAGGGGUCAGUUUUAUAUGCAUGUGCUAAAAACAACAUUAACUGAUGGCAUGUAAUAAAGGGUAAGAUUAUACCAGCGAUUCCUUUGUGAAACUGAAAACAUGUAUUUCUCUUUUUCAAUACUGAGUUUUCAAAUCAUUGCCAUAUAUUUUGCUGCAUCUAGUACUGUUAAAGGAACGCACAAAGAAUGAGAUUCUUUAGAUGCCACUCCUAUAAUGAUCUGAUCUUUCUAGCUCAAUAGUACCAGGAGUUGAUGCUUCUCCUGUGACAUUUUCAUAAUAGGAAUCACCAAAGCAGUAUAAAUUGUCAGCAGAGGACCAAAUCCCAUCAAUGUGAAAUGUAUGAAGUGAAGGUAAUAAUACAUUUAUAUCAGGACAACUAUCCUUUACUAAUUAAUCAAAGUAAUGUGAGGACUCCUAGGUUAAUGCUCAUGCACAGUCUGAGUCAGGAAUUGGGAUGAAUUUAUAUAGCCACAUGAUCCCAUGUUAAAACUCUUUACAGGCUGCAAUUUGACCCUCCAACCUGGCUGAACAAUGCUUUGAUAGCCUCUUACUCAUGUUCUCAAUCAAACAUAGUAGUGGGAAAAUUCUGAGGCCAGAGAUGAAAGGGUCUGAGCAGCUGUUUUGUUGGGCUCAUUUCUGAUCUCUGUGGAAAAAAAAGUGAGUAACUUGGAAUAUUACGUGAAUCUUUGCACUCUAUAAGGGCAACAUAACUUACACGUACUCCUUUGUUUGUUUUGGCAGCAGGGUGGGUGAAGAUCUGGCUGUGAACAGGGUUUCCAUGUCUUUGCUACUGCUAAAUAUAAUCCUCAUAUACCUAGGAAAACAUAUGGCUUUCUACUUAGGCAUUUUUGGGCUUGCUUCACUUAGGUGCCUAAUUGAUACUUUAUGUGCCUGAAUCCCAGAAUCAGGUCCCACUGGGAUUCACAAGACCCUCACUUAGCUGUUGCCAUACCUUGUUGGUGCUUAAACUCAAUCAGUAUCUACAUUUUUGCAAUAAAAGUUCCCUAGGCACCUAUGUUUCUGCUUCCGCUGAUGCACGCUUUAGCCUUAGUCUACAUGUCUGGACGCCAGAACCCGCAGGUGAUAUGCAAACUGGGGGAAGAUAGGCAUUCCUAACUCACCCUGCAAGGCCAAAUCCACUAGGUGUGCUGAGAGCUACUGCCACCUCUCAGGUGAGUGCCCUAACCAGUAGGCUAUGGGAUAGUCUGAUAUCAGGCUACUCUGUUAAAGUUCUUCCCCUGUGACUAAAUAAUGAAAGAGUCAUUGGAGCAGGGGAACUGGAUCCCAGGUUUCCCCACAUGUAGGGUGACCAGAUGUCCCGAUUUUAUUUGGACUGUCCUAAUUUUUGGGUCUUUUUCUUAUAUAGACUCCUAUUACCCCCCACUGCCUGUCCCGAUUUUUCACAUUUGCUGUCUGGUCACCCUACCCACAUGCAUGCUCUAAUGAUAGAGUCAUUCGCAUGCUCGCUCACUCUGGCCUCCUCCUCAUUUCCCCAGCUUUUUUCAGAAACAGUGUAGUCACCUAAUGCCAAGAGAGGGUUUGCAGCUGAGAAUCUCAGGCAGAAGAGGUGCCUCCCUACAGCCCAGACUUGGGCACUGAAAUGCCUGAGAUGGGCAAGUCUUAGGACAUACCCCCGGCUUUGGCAUAGCCCACGGGCUAACUUAGGCAGAAAGCCACUUGGCUUGCUGGUUUUUGUGAGUCUCUCCCCAUUCAUUACACCGGGAGCCUAGGCACCUAAUUCAGUCUUUGUGAAUCUAGCCAUUUGUGCCUACUCUGUGUCUUUUUCUCACUGGCCAAUCUGGUAUGAGCUUUCUGGCUCUUUUUCAUGGUUCUGUCACAGUCCUCAUUCUAACAUUGAUUAGCAUUACUGAGAAAAAUAUCUAUCCACAACGAUAGAGUCUAAACAGCACAUGUGUGAGAAGGAAAUACACCCUUCCAACUUUGAUCUCUUAGCCAGCAAUAUCCCUUGGUCACUUGCAUUGGAAUUCUUAGUGUACUUGUCCAAAUUAGACCGCUGGCUCCUGGAUUAGGGAUCUUGUCUUUCAUGUGUCUGUACAGGGAGGUGUAUAUUUAUGGUGUACUUUAAAUAAUGAAGAAGAGAGGCAACAUACAGAAAUGAUAUUCUGCUAAUCAAUCAAUGACAGUACUAAUUUUGGGUCCCCUGAGCAAAGUGCAAAUAAAAGGAUUUUUGCAGAGGUGCUAUGUGAGGGCUGAUAUGAAUGGAAUCCUCCUCUGCUGUCUGGUGGUGGUCUGUGAAACAUAAGCAGUCUCUGUACCCACUGACCCCAUCACCACCAACAUGACAGGGGUUUUGGUCAGUGGAUCUUCAUAGCUGUAGAUCCAAUCUCCUGCCACACCCCCAUACUCAGACUGUCCUGUGCACUGCUAUGGAGGGUGCACUUCUUAUGGACAUGUAAGGGCUGUGAAUUCCUUCUGUGAAGCCUCUUCACAGCCUGCCCCAUCACUCCCCAUGGCAGUCAGUUCUAAUACUUUGUGGUCCUUGUGUGGCUGCACAAGUAGGAGCAGGAUAUGUCUCAUAGAUCUGAAAGCACGCAGAUGAACAGUUUAUUUGCAUGUAAACAUCUAUUCCCAAGGUACCUUCUAAUAAAGACCAUGCCCAACAUGAUCAAGUGAGCUCACCUCAAAAGGAAGUGUGAACAUUGUAAGAGAUACAAAUAGAUUGGGAGUUGGGACCAUUGUUAUGGUUUAUGUAGGGAGAUUUCUCCAUUAGUUUCAGCUUUUAUGUAUGGUUUCAGAGUAGUAGCCAUAGUAGUCUGUAUCAGCAAAAACAACGAGGAGUCCUUGUGGCACCUUAGAGACUAACAAAUUUAUUUGGGCAUACACUUUUGUGGGCUAAAACCCACUUCAUCAGAUGCAUGGAGUGAAAAAUACAGUAAGCAGUAUAUAUAUUACAGCACAUGAAAAGAUGGAAGUUGCCUUACCAAGUGGCAGGUCACUGCUAACGAGCCCAACCUUGAUUGAAUUGACCUCAUUAGCACUGACACCUGACUUGGUAAGGCAACUCCCAUCUUUUCAUGUGCUGUAAUAUAUAUACUACUUACUGUAUUUUUCACUCCAUUCAUCUGACGAAGUCAGUUUUAGCCCACAAAAGCUUAUGCCCAAAUAAAUUUGUUAGUCUCUAAGGUGCCACAAGGACUCCUCGUUGUUUUAGCUUUUGUACAUGUGUAUUUUGGUACUCACCUGAAUAUUUCUGGCAAGGCAAUUAGGACUGAUGGCUAGGGAAAAAUACUGGCUUUCCCUGUAGUCAGUUGCACUUUAUUCCAAACUGUUCUGAUACCCUUCAGUUUUAUCUGUUCCCAGUUGACUGAAUACUCACCUUAAACUGUACAAUUCAAGGUCAACGUGAGACACAAAGCUCUACCUUUGCAGAGAAGAGCUGCCAGUAUGCUGGAAUUUAAGAGCAGACACAUCCAAAGUUUAUAAAAGCAAACAGCUUAGAUCAGAUUUUCAUUCCUGGAUUAUUCUGAGUCAAACUGUGCCAGAGUUUAUAAAAGCAGAUAGCUCAGCUCACAUUUUCAUUCUUGUAUUGAGACUUGGAUUUCAGUGUGCAUGCCAUGUCAGUGAAUGCCUGUUGCAAAAAUAUAGUAGUCAACUAGUUAGAGAAAUUAUGGGGUGCAAUGUGUUGAAUUCCUAUGUGGUUGUUUUAAAGGACAGAAAUGACCUGUAAUGUUUUUUUAACUUCACCUUUGAUAUAGGGAUCCAGACUCCACAGGAAAGAUACACAGCUGAAUAUUUGUCUCACUGAAAUUGCAACAAAAUUGCAACACUGAGGGGAAACUAUCUAUGCAGUGACUUGUGUUGAGCUCAAUGCCAAAAACUUUGUAAUGUGUGCAUAGACUGAUAGACUUGAAGGCCAGAAGGGAUGCAUCUAUCUAAUCUAAUUUAUCAAUAUUUAUAGAGCCCCAUUGCCAUGUUAUUUAUGGGCUUGAUCCAAAACUCAUUAAAAUCCCAGGGAAUCUUUCUAUUGACUUCAAUGGGCUUUGUAUCAUGCCCUAGGUGUUACACGUGGCAGAAUCUGAUCCUUAGUAACUAUUGAUAUCCAUAAGAUACUGGGAUUUUCUUUUCUGAUGUGUGUUUCUUUCCAGAUUGUUUUUCAUUUUACCUUUGUACUUAUUUUUUUAAAAAAUACCCCUUUUCAGACAUUGUUUAAUAUUUAGCAAUGAACAGGCUUAAUUGAUUCUCGAUGGGCUUUUUAACACUAUUGAUACCUUAGUAUUAUCCCAAACAAUAGUUAAAGGGUCAACUUUUAUGAACAUUUGUCUAGGUAUGUGCCAUCAGUAUAACAUCCUGCCUCAACUACUGCAUUCUCCAGCUUCACGCUCUCUCUCAUCUGUCUUUCUUCUGAGUCAUUUAUGCUUCUGGCAAGCUUAUAUUGGUCUCCUAUUGUUCUAUGUCUUCUUCCUUCUUCUUAACUUUCAAAGCACUCUAUAACUUAGGCCCUGCCUACUUUUCCACUCUUGUUUUCUUCUAAACCACUUUCCACCCCAUGUGGUCCAUCCAACCAUCUCUCCUGAUUGCUCCCUUUGGGUGACAUUUUCAAAAAUACUUAAAGGCCAGAUAUUCAAAGAUAUUUAGGCACUUAAAAAUGCAGAUCAGCACCUCAUGAGAUAUUCAAAAGCAUAUAUGCAGGUUAGGCACCUAAAUCCCAUUAAUUUAAAUAUUUAAGUGCUUUUUUAAUAUCUCACAAGAUGCCUAUCUGCAUCUUUAGGAGCCUAGAUACGUUUGAUCUAUCCCUAAGUGAUUUAGGUGCCUGUGUCCUGAUUUCAAAAGUGACUUAGGAACCUAAGUCCCAUUGACUUUGACUUUCAGUGAGACUUAGGGCAUAUCCAGUGCAUGACUCUUUUAUGUGGGGAGGCUUGCGUGAGUGCUGGAAGCCCCCUAGAAGUAGGGGGACACCAACACCUGGACUGUGGUCCCAUCCCCACCCGGCCUCUUCCCCUGAGGCCCUGCCCCCACCCGGCCUCUUCCCCAAGGCCCCACCCUCACUUCACCUAUUCCCCCGAGGCCCCACCCUCAAUCUGCCUCUUCCCCAGAGGCCCCCUGCCCACAGCUCACUCCUCUCCAUCCCUUAUCUCCCAGUCACUCACCCUUAAGACAGGAAAAAAGGGGGAGGGCAUAGUCCUCCCACUUUUAAAAGUGGGGGGGAGCAAGACCCCCUCACUUUUAAAAGUGAGAGGGGGCCUUGCCCCCCCCCCCCCCCGCCAUUCUGGUACCCCUUAGCUGAGUUGCUCUGGCAUCAGCCUGCACAGCCUCUCACUGGCUGGCCCAGCUGUGGGACUCCUUUUCCUGCUGUGCGUGCUGAUGCCAGAGACACUCAGCUAAGGGGUGCCAGAACAGGGGAGGGCAUGGCUAUCCCACUUUUAAAUGCUAUCCCAUUCUUUUCCUGACUUAAGGGCAAGCGACAGGAGGGGGAGGGGGUGGAGAGGAGCAAGCAAUGAGCCUCAGGGGAAGAGGCGAAGCAUAGGAGGGGCCCUGAGGCAGAGCACAGGUAGGGCCACAGUUUGGGCCCCAGUGGCCUUCCCACUUCUAGGGAGCUUCCAGCAGCGGGGUUCCAAAGGCAGUGGGCUGGCAUGCCUCCAUAAGGCGGUAACCCAUGCCCGCAUCUGGCAUUUCUUGCCCCCUGCAUGGCCAGCCUUUUAUGGGGAGGCUAAGCCUCCCCAAGCCUCUUAUACAUGCCACUCACGACUUAGGGUAUGUCUACACAUGGGUAAACAAUCUGUGGUUGUCCAAAGUCAGCUGACUUGGGCUCACAGGGCUCAGGCUCCAGGGCUGAAAAAGCCCUGUGUAGACAUUCGGGCUUGGAUUGAAGCUUGAGCUCUGAGACCCUGCAUGAGUGGAGGGUCCCAGAGGUCAGGAUCCUGCCCAAGCCCAAACAUCUAAACAGCAAUUUUUAGCCCCACAGCCUGAGCCCAGCGACCCCAAGUCAGCUGACCCAUGCCAGCCCGUGUAGAUGUACUCGUAGAGCCUAAGUGCCCAAGUCACUUUUAAAAAUGAGAUUUAAGCUUCUAAGUCACUUAAAUGCUUUUGAAAAUAAAGCCUUUGUCUCUUUUUGUUAUUCCUAAUUCUGUACAUUAUUUCUUGCUCCUCUUAUGCUUGGGGCAGCUUUCUAAGUAGUGCAUGUCAUGUUCUCUUCCUCUCCUUCAACAAAUUUGGGAAAAUUAACCUGUACUGUGAAGCACUGUGGCUGUAAAGACCAUCCACCUCUUUCUGUUUUUCCACUGUUGCAUUUGUACUUUUAGACUGGAAAAUAUUUGAGAAAAGGUUCUGUCAUUGUGUAGCAUCAAGCAGUUGUAAAGCAUUGUGGACAUACACGCUGCUGUAUAGGUAGUAUUAAUAAAUUCUCUAUUAGGCAUAUUUUCUUUUUGAAAAAAAAUGCUUAAUCUUACUAAUUCUGAGAGGUACUUUCUCCAAAAGAAAAAUCAUCCAUAAAUGAAGAGCAUAUGUGCAGUACCAUUUAUGAGACACCUUUCCAAUCCCCACUAUCAGACAUAUUGCCUUUUAUGGUGAUCCACUGCUAAUGAGUUCAUUAUAUAAAAACAAUACGGCCCUUGAAAGUAAGAGGCAACAUAUUGAAACUAGAAGGGAAUCCUUUUUAAUAUAAGUAUAUAUAAAUUGUGAAAUUUGCUUCUACACAAUGUUACUCAGCCAAAUAGCUUAGUAGGGUUUUCAAAAGGACUCUCAUGAAUAAACAUAGCAUCUGCUGUAAUGUUAUCUGGGAUUUUUUUUAAAAGUAUUUAUUUUUAUUUGUCAAUACCAAUACAGAGCACCUGCCAAACAGCAGUAGGUAUUACACCAUAUAAAACCUAUUUCAAAUGCAAAACAUACAAGAAGCCAGUACAAUCAGCCCAGCCUCAGAAAUAAAUAAAUCAGCCAGUUGGAGCAACUGAACAAACAAAUCCACUCAUCCCAUAUCAGAGUCCCUUCUUCAUUUGUCCGCCCAUGCUCCAAAUCCCUGAGAAAACAGGUUCUGCAAUGUGCCCUCAAGGCCAACAGAUUUGGACUCUUUUAGGCUGUGAAUGGUGGAGGAAAUUAAUUCCAAAGUCAAGGGCCCUGCUUGGAGAAUAAAUUAAUAUUUUAAUUAAAGACAGAAGGGAUUAUUGUGAUUAUGUAGUCUGACCUCCUGUAUAUCACAGGCUUCCAUGAAUUAAUUCCUGUUUAAAUUCAAACAUCCAAUCUUGAUUUAAAAAUUUUCAGAGAUGGAGAAUCCACUACAAUUCCUGGUAAAUUGUUCCAGUGGUUAACUCUCACUCUUAAAAAUUUACAUCUUAGUUUUAGUCUGAAUUUGCAUAGCUUCAAUGUCCAGCCAUUGGGUCUUGUUAUUCCUUUGCCUGCUAGACUAAAGAUCCCUCUAUUAUUAAAUUUCUGCUCCUCAUAUAAACACUUAUAGAUUGUGAUCAGAUAGCCCCUUAAUCUUCCUUUGGUUAAACUAAACAGGUUGAGCUCCUUGAAUCUAUCACUAUAAGGGAUGUUUUCCAGUCCUUUCAUCAUUCUCAUGACUCUUCUCUGAACCCUCUCCAAUUUAUCAACAUCUUCCUUGAACUGUGGAAACAGUACCGGACACAGUAUUCUGGUAGUGGUUAUACCAAUGCCAAAUACAGAGUUCAUAUAACCUCCCUACUCCUAUUCAGUAUUUCCCUGUUUACACAUCCAAGGAUCGCAUUAGGCCUUCUGGCUGCAGUGUCAUACUGAGAGCUCAUGUUCAGCUGAUUAUCCACCAUGACCACUUUUUAAUCCAUCUAAUGCUUACCAUAGUGAUUUUGUAUUGUUCCAGUUGCUUAAUCAACAUGUUGUGCAGUGCCAAAUCAAAUGCCUUACAGAAGUCUAUGUACAUCACAUCAACACUAAUUGUAAUCAAACUUGUAAUCUCCUCAAAAUGAUAUCAAGUUACUUUGACAAGAUCUAUUUUCUAUAAACCCAGGUUAAUUGACAUUAAUUAUAUUACCUUCCUUUAAUAUAAUAUACAAUAACUCCCUGCUUAGUGAAGUCAAAAUGAACAAAACCAAAUCUGCAUUUGAUUUGAGAGCAAGGAUUUUCUUAUUUGGAGUUCUUGGAGACUACCUUCGUAUAGCAUAAUGAUUUUGCAGCUUAAUAGGAUUCCUCUUUAUAGGAAGUAGCUCCUUUAAAAUAAUCUAAGAAAGUGGAUAUUCACUCCCAAUGUUGCCUUUGUGCAGUUAGGCUGUUUGUGAAGCCAAUGGGAUGCUGUAGAGUUUAUGCAGGGAUUAAAGCAAACUCAUCCUUGGCGGAACUCCAAACCCAGAAUUAAGUUGAACACAAUGUGGGGAAAAAAUGUUGCUGAAACUGUGUCUCCCUGAGAUAAUAUUCCUGUCUGGGCCCUCCUAAUGUUGCAAACUGGCUCUCCAGGAGCCAUCUUCAUACUGCAUAUAUCCAUAUUUUCUCCGGCUAUCGGAACCCAGAGAGGAAUGGGAGCAGCUGUCAAAUAUGAUAAAACAUGAGCAGUGGCACCCUAAGUUUUAUGCUGUGAAGAAGUUAUUAGCAUGGAGCAGCUUCUAUAUGUCAGCCUGCACAGCAGACAGCUGCAGUGCUGUGACAGUGUCUACUCAAUGUGACAUAUCAAUAAUCUGCAUUUUUUCAACCUGGCCAAAGAAUUUGACCAAUUCACCUUGACAGCAGGGGUAGGGGUGGGAAUCAAGAUUUUUUUUUUUUCAAGAAUGGAAACCAAUCAGUUUGUGCUUCCCACAUAUAUUUUUAAAUCCUUCAGUAAUGAAAAUGAUUUCUACCAUGUCACAUGCACGCAGAGACAGCGGAAGGAGGAGACAGUAGCUUUGUUAAGAAGUCUGUUUCCUUUCUCAAAUUCCCUCUGGAAUUUUUUCCACAAGAUCACUAUAAGGAACAAAUUUAGAUUGUCCCUGAUUCUAACAGACUAUUCUCACCUGAUGAAUUUUAAAACAAUUUUGGAAACUGAUUGCUUUUAAAAAAAAUGAGCACAACAUUUAAUAAUUAAUGGUGAAAUGUGAAACAUUGACUAAGAACCAUGAAAUAGAGACUAUCAGUUAAAACCCGUCUAAUGAAUUAUGGGGGCUCUGCACUGCCCCUGGUACAUUUACUGAGAUUUUAAUUUAUUUGUAGGAUGGGUUUAAAUUGAUUGGAAUCACUAGGGUACAAAGGAGGAGAGCUGUACUUUUGAAAUGUAAAUAAAUGCCACAGAGAUUCCAGCCCAGUCCCCCUGUUUGCAAUGCACUUCACAUUUAAAUAACUUGA